GCGCUGAAUGCUGUCGCGAGUGCGCUCGCUCGAACGAGUGUCGUUCUGACUCGUGGUGAUCUUGAUACUGCUGGUAGUCCGGCAUUACCACUUGCUCAAGUA
rnacentral:ribozyme from 1 species